UCAGGAAAGUUUGGCGAAAAAUGUUUUGAUUCUUGUAGUAAGAAUUGUGUCAACAUCACUUGUAGUCGUAAUGGAGAGUGUGAUGGUGGCUGCAAAAACGGAUGGACAGGGUCGCGAUGUGACAACCCAUGCCCUGAGGGAUCUUAUGGUAAAAAAUGUCUAAAUCAAUGCAACCACAAUUGUGCAGCCGGAUGUAAUCAUAUUCAUGGCGAUUGUAUUCAAGCUUGUUCAGCUGUUGGUUUACAACCCCUAAGAUGUGAUAGACCCUGUUUACCCAAAUACUAUGGAUUAAAUGUACAUCGGUGUGUAGCAGUUAUUGUGCUGAAUGUGGUCUCUGCCACCCAGAAAACGGGACUUGUUUGUCGAGAUGCAGCCCUGGAUAUUUAGGAAAUAUGUAUUUAACUGAAAUAAACAACCUAAAAGAUGACACAAAAGAAUCAACCUCCGAAUCUAUUCUGUAUAUCGGGUUAGGGGUUGGUAUUUUGGUGUUGCUUGCUGUA